rnacentral:rRNA from 1 species
ACAUCCAGCGAACUUGGCAGAGAUGCCUUGGUGCCUUCGGGAACGCUGAGACAGGUGCUGCAUGGCUGUCGUCAGCUCGUGUUGUGAAAUGUUGGGUUAAGUCCCGNAACGAGCGCAACCCUUAUCCUUUGUUGCCAGCGAUUCGGUCGGGAACUCAAAGGAGACUGCCGGUGAUAAACCGGAGGGAGGUGGGGAUGACGUCAAGUCAUCAUGGCCCUUACGAGUAGGGCUACACACGUGCUACAAUGGCGCAUACAAAGAGAAGCGACCUCGCGAGAGCAAGCGGACCUCAUAAAGUGCGUCGUAGUCCGGAUCGGAGUCUGCAACUCGACUCCGUGAAGUCGGAAUCGCUAGUAAUCGUGGAUCAGAAUGCCACGGUGAAUACGUUCCCGGGCCUUGUACACACCGCCCGUCACACCAUGGGAGUGGGUUGCAAAAGAAGUAGGUAGCUUAACCUUCGGGAGGGCGCUUACCACUUUGUGAUUCAUGACUGGGGUGAAGUCGUAACAAGGUAAGCGUAGCGAG